rnacentral:rRNA from 1 species
GACGAACGCUGGCGGCGUGCUUAACACAUGCAAGUCGAACGGAAAGGCCCCCUUGUGGGGUACUCGAGUGGCGAACGGGUGAGUAACACGUGAGUAACCUACCCUUGACUUUGGGAUAACUUCAGGAAACUGGGGCUAAUACCGGAUAGGAGCUCCUGCUGCAUGGUGGGGGUUGGAAAGUUUCGGCGGUUGGGGAUGGGCUCGCGGCUUAUCAGCUUGUUGGUGGGGUAGUGGCUCACCAAGGCUUUGACGGGUAGCCGGCCUGAGAGGGUGACCGGCCAAAUGGGGACUGGGAUCCGGCCCAAGCUCCUAGGGGGGGAAGCGGGGGGGAAUUUUGCACAAUGGGGGGAAGCCUGAUGCAGCAACGCCGGGUGGGGGAUGACGGCCUUGGGGUUGUAAACCGCUUUCGCCUGUGACGAAGCGGGGGUGACGGUAAUGGGUAAAGAAGCACCGGCUAACUACGU